rnacentral:lncRNA from 1 species
AGUCAACUGGGAUGUUUUCAUUGAGUUUUGCUGAACUCUUGUAUUGAUAGCCAACUUAUGGUUGCCGUUCAACCAUGGUUUGACAAAUGGAAUCGCAUUCCAGACCACUAAUCCUUUCUCCAAUAUAAAUAUCGUACUGAAAUGUUAUAUGUGAUCUACUGUUAAACUAUGAUUUUCACACAAAUUAUUUUUGUUAAACUGAACCCUCUUUGAGUUCCACCUUUACGUAUGUUGGAAAUUCACUUGUUCGUUGGUGACGUGAGUAGCUUCUUUGCUGAAUCAAAUAAUAGUUUUCAUAUACUGGAAACUGUUCUUUCAUAUACCGAAGAACAUUUCUUCAGUAUUGUGUGUGUUCUUCACAAUGUAACAGCUACUAACAUGAAGCUCUUUUAAGUUUAAUCUGCUUUGUUAACAGUUUCUUUAUCACUAAGACUAAGGGUCAACAAACAUUUUCUUUAAGGGGCGAAAAAGUAAAUAUCUUAGGCUUUGCAGACCACAUCUAGUCUCUGUUAUGUUUUACAAUCCUCUAAAAAUGCAGAACUUCUUAGCUUGAGGGCUGUAUAUAAACAUCCACGGGCCAAAUUUUGCCCACUGACCUUAAUUUGCCAACUCCUUAGACCAGUAGCUCUCAAUGGAGAGAAGGAGCAAUUCUGCUCCCCAAGGCAUAUUUGGCAAUAUCUGGACACAGUUGUGGUUGUCACAACUUAAAGGGAGUGUCAUUUAGUAAGGAGAGGCCAGAAUGCUGCUAAAUAUCCUACAAUGCACAGCUUCUCCCUCCACAACCAAGAAUUAUGCAGCCCCAAAUGUCAAUAGUGCCAAAGUUGAACAGGCCUGCCUUAGACAAUAGAUAAUACAAUAAAUGAGGUCUUGAUUUGUAAAUUUUUUUGUGUUGUAAAUAUUCUAGUUGUGGCCACUUUCAAACUACCAAUGUAAAGUCACCUAACAAUGGACUUGCGGAGAAUGCAAACUGGCACACCAUUAUACGCCACCACACAGAUGCACUAGGCAUAAAUAACCACAAGAGCAUAGACGAUCGUAAAAUAGCAAAAUAAUUAGGGCAUGGAUUCUCUCUUUUCAGUUAAACAUCUGCACUCCUCACCUCUCCUGUUCAGUGAAUUAGUUCACAACAGGUCAGGAACUGUAAGAUCCUGAAACAAACAGGAAACAAAACAGCCAAACUUUGAAUACUGGUAUAUCAAGGGAGGGGUCUAUGCCAGACUCUGAGGCCUGAGUGAGCACUACAGUCAGAGUACAGUGUCAGGGCAUUCAACUUCACAAACGGUGGCCACGAAGGGGACACUGAAAUGAACAAGGAGAGAGAAAGAGAAAGAGCAUGGAUAAUCCAACUGGCCUCUGUCCCCACUGGCUCAGGCUUGGCUGUGAGUGUGAGUCUUUGUCCCAACAUGGAAUCAAUCUGUUGGAAAGUGCUUGGUGGCUGAGCCUUUAAUAACUUCUUUUUUCUUAUUAGACGCCACAACCCUCCAGAAACUGAGUUCUCAGAACCAGACAAAAUUUCCAAGACCUAAAGGUUGAAGCCCUAAUCUCAAAUGUGAUCACAGUUGGAGAUAGGGCCUUUGAGAAGAUAAUUAUGAUUAAAUUAGGUCAUAAGGAUUGGACCCUAAUCCAAUAGGACUGGUGUCUUUAUAAGAAAAGGAACACCUACUGGAAGUUUGCAUGCACAGAGGAAAGACCAUGUGAAGACACAGCAAGAAGUUGGCCAUCUUCAAGCCAAGGAGAGAAGCCCCAGGAGAAAACAAACCUAACAACACCUUGAGCUUGGACUUCCAGACUCCAGAACUGUAAGAAAUAAAUGUCUACUGUUUAAGCCACC